rnacentral:lncRNA from 1 species
CUCGCAAUCUAUUUCUGCUGCUGUUGUCACGGCUAGCUCACAUUCUAUUUCUGCUGCUGCUGUUGUCACACCUAGCUUGCAAUCUAUUCCUGAUACUCCUGGCUCAGAGUCUAUUCCUGCUACUGUUGUCACACCUGGCUCACAAUCUAUUCCUGCUGCUUUUGUUGCCCCUGUGUCACAACCUAUUCCUGCUGCCUUUGUCGCCCCUGAGUCACAAGCUAAUCCUGCUGAUCCUUCUGUUGUGCAUAUCCAAUCAAGAGGACGAG